CAAUAGCGUAUAUUAAAGCUGUUGCGGUUAAAAAGCUCGUAGUUGGAUUUCUGUCAAGGACAACUGGUCCGCCCUCCGGGUGAGCACAUAGUUUGGUCUUGACAUCUUGCUGGAAACUGUUGCUGCACUUGGCUGUGUGGCGCAGCGUCCAGCACUUUCACUUUGAGGAAAUUGGAGUGUUUCAAGCAGGCACAUGCCUUUGGACACAGUAGCAUGGAAUAAUUAGAUUGGGCUUUUGCUCCAAUUUGUCGGUUUCUGGAGCUGAGGUGAGAAUUAAUGGGGAUUGUUGGGGGCAUCCGAAUUUAGCCGUCAGAGGUGAAAUUCUUGGAUCUGCUAAAGACGGACAACUGCGAAAGCGUUUGCCCAGGAUGUUUUCAUUGA
rnacentral:rRNA from 1 species